CAUGCAGCGAUGGCAGUGGGGUCUGGGUGAGCUGGGCUGCUGCUCCGCGUGAGGUGUGCUCUCCUUCCUGGCCCGGGACUUGCGUGUCAGAAUCAGCACCAGAAGGGCUCAAGGAGCCUUGGAUGACGAUUGUUGAGCACCGUGGGCCCUCGCUUGGCAGCUCUUUCAUGGGCGUAGUCCUAACAGCCCCGCCUCCUGCAG
rnacentral:lncRNA from 1 species